GAUGCGCUGCGCCCUGACGGGUAACGGGACCGCGCAAGCGGAGGAUGUGUGGGUUCGAGUCCCACCGCGCAUCACCA
rnacentral:tRNA from 2 species